rnacentral:rRNA from 1 species
AGUGAACGCUGGCGGUAGGCCUAACACAUGUAAGUCGAACGGCAGCACAGUAAGAGCUUGCUCUUACGGGUGGCGAGUGGCGGACGGGUGAGGAAUACAUCGGAAUCUACUUUUUCGUGGGGGAUAACGUAGGGAAACUUACGCUAAUACCGCAUACGACCUACGGGUGAAAGCAGGGGAUCUUCGGACCUUGCGCGAUUGAAUGAGCCGAUGUCGGAUUAGCUAGUUGGCGGGGUAAAGGCCCACCAAGGCGACGAUCCGUAGCUGGUCUGGGAGGAUGAUCAGCCACACUGGAACUGAGACACGGUCCAGACUCCUACGGGAGGCAGCAGUGGGGAAUAUUGGACAAUGGGCGCAAGCCUGAUCCAGCCAUACCGCGUGGGUGAAGAAGGCCUUCGGGUUGUAAAGCCCUUUUGUUGGGAAAGAAAAGCAGCAGGUUAAUACCCCGCUGUUCUGACGGUACCCAAAGAAUAAGCACCGGCUAACUUCGUG